rnacentral:rRNA from 1 species
UACAGAGGUCCCAAGCGUUGUUCGGAUUCACUGGGCGUAAAGGGUGCGUAGGUGGUAAGGCAAGUCAGGUGUGAAAUCUCCGGGCUCAACCCGGAAAUGGCAUUGGAAACUACCCUGCUAGAGGGUCGGAGGGGGGACUGGAAUACUUGGUGUAGCAGUGAAAUGCGUAGAUAUCAAGUGGAACACCAGUGGCGAAGGCGAGUCCCUGGACGACUCCUGACACUGAGGCACGAAAGCUAGGGGAGCAAACAGG